AACUUAAAGGAAUUGACGGGGGCCCGCACAAGCGGUGGAGCAUGUGGUUUAAUUCGAUGAUACGCGAGGAACCUUACCUGGGCUCAAAUGUAUGUUGACGUAUUCUGAAAGGGAUACUUCUUCGGACAAUAUACAAGGUGCUGCAUGGUUGUCGUCAGCUCGUGCCGUGAGGUGUCGGGUUAAGUCCCAUAACGAGCGCAACCCCUACUGCUAGUUGCCAGCGGGUCAUGCCGGGGACUCUAGCGGAACUGCCAGCGUAAGCUGCGAGGAAGGUGGGGAUGACGUCAAAUCAGCACGGCCCUUACGUCCAGGGCUACACACGUGUUACAAUGGCCAGUACAGAGGGCAGCCACCCCGCGAGGGGCGCUAAUCCUAAAAGCUGGUCCCAGUUCGGAUCGGAGUCUGCAACCCGACUCCGUGAAGCUGGAUUCGCUAGUAAUCGCGCAUCAGCCACGGCGCGGUGAAUACGUUCCCGGGCCUU
rnacentral:rRNA from 1 species